UUUGAGGAUUCCUGAGGACAACCGCAAGCAUAAGGUCUCCACCAAGGUUUUUGAGGCUGUGAUUAUUAUGCUGGUGAUGGGACUGAUCGGAUGCAUUAUUUGGAUCAAUUUACCAAUAAAGAAUUCUCAAGUAAUCUGUCAUUCAGAUUGUCUGGCUGGCCUCAGAAUUGUCACGUUUACUGAAAUUGUCACAAAAGAAGGACAUUCCACAGGGAACUACACAGGGAACUACACAGCACCCAGAAGUGGGAAAUAUUUAAUCCAUGGCGAGAUCCAUAAGAAAGGAGAAAAUGUUGCUAAUACAAUUAAUUCAAUACGUCUGUUGGGACAACCAUCAGAUGAGGUGAUUGGAAAGAUAAACUUUGAUCAAAAUGAGACACAGCUUGUGAAAACUGUGGAACUUUUGGAAAAUACAACAUUCCUAGUACAAACAAACAAGAACAAAAAGAUUCAAAUCGACAUAAAAAAAUCUUAUUUAAAAGUUUAUACAAUUAUUUCUGACUCAUGUAUGAACUGACACAAUGUUUGUAAGUAGUUUCAUCUAAGUCGCUUCAAUGAGAUUGUAUCCAAGCUAUUGCCGGUAUCUGGCCAAAGUGGAUAA